rnacentral:lncRNA from 1 species
CAUUCAAAGACGAACGUAGAAAUAUAUAUAAAAAGAAACAUAUAUAAAUUGCUUGAUAUUUCUAAUACGUAGAUCAUAUUGUAAUUAUCAUUUAUCUGAAGUAGCCUCCAACAACAUAACUGAAUAGUCUAUAAUCUAUUAUACACAAAUAGAAACAUUAAGUACGAUUAUACGUAUACAUUAAUUGACGAAAGCUUAAAAUUGUAUAUUCGUGAAUAACAUGAAGAACAUUUUGGCAAGAGGCUAAAGAUCAAGGAGCAUUCACUACUUUGUUGGUUGAGGAACAUGCGGAUUCAAGAGGCUGAUAAUUAAUAUACUUUUGGUAAACAACCUUCCACAUUUCUACCUUGGAAAACUCUUCCUCCAAUAUUGUCUUUCUUAGGCUUCAAGUUUAUGAAUUUAUCAACAUUUUCUUCCAAGGGUCUUGUAGCAUCUACACAAAGGGGUGUAAUAUUUGAAGGAGGAUUCAAAAGUAAAAUGAAAAGAAGCAUAAAUUUGGAUAUUGCAAUUAUGGACAUUUUGGUAGCUAUAGUGUUUGAAAUGAUUAUAUAGGAUUAUGAAAGGUUAUUGAAGUUUGUGUAUUGGUUUGGAUGUAAGGAGGUCUUAAAUAGGGUCAUGAGAUGUGUAGAUA